rnacentral:tRNA from 1 species
GCCUAGUUAGCUUAGUUGGUAGAGCGUCUGCCUUGUAAGCGCUAGGCCGCGGGUUCGAUUUUCCGCCCCGGGCG